rnacentral:rRNA from 1 species
UACGGAGGGUGCAAGCGUUAUCCGGAUUCACUGGGUUUAAAGGGUGCGUAGGUGGGUUGGUAAGUCAGUGGUGAAAUCUCCAGGCUUAACUUGGAAACUGCCAUUGAUACUAUCAAUCUUGAAUACCGUGGAGGUCAGCGGAAUAUGUCAUGUAGCGGUGAAAUGCUUAGAUAUGACAUAGAACACCAAUUGCGAAGGCAGCUGGCUACACGAAUAUUGACACUGAUGCACGAAAGCGUGG